rnacentral:tRNA from 1 species
GCCCCUGUAGCUCAGUUGGCAGAGCAGGCGACUUUUAAUCGUCGGGUCCUCGGUUCGAUCCCGAGCGGGGGCA